rnacentral:tRNA from 2 species
GCCGCUUUCGUCCAAUGGUAGGGCACCUGGCUUACAUCCAGAUGACGGGAGUUCGAUUCUCUCAAGCGGUAC